UUCUCAGCUACAUAGGCGCCAUAUUGCUUAGUGAAUGCCAGCUUCAAGAAGUAUCGGUUAUGUUCCAUCUGGUCCAUUUACUUAUCUCUGGCCUACCCCCUGGUUGUUUGUUUAUUACUUUUACGCGCGCGUUUUUUCUCUCCAGUAUAAAAAAGCCACGCAGACUGUUUAGUGUGCGUGCUUUUUACUAAAUGUUUCAUCAUGUACCCAAAUGAUGUACCUUUGUUUGUUUUCAGUUGUUACAGUGAGUGUUAAGCUAUGAGUAACUGUAAGCAAUGUUUAUGUGAAGAAUGUGGACAAGGGUAUGAUUAUAAGAAAAAUCUUCGCCAACACGUGCGGACGAAACAUCCCGGGAAAGUUGACUUAUCUUUUUUAGAGAACAAGAAAAAAAAUUGUAAAUUUAAGUGCAACAGUUGCGAUAAAAAGUUUAGUCAUUUCCGAAAUCUAAGCUUCCAUGAACGGAAAUAUCACACAAAUCUUCAGCCACACGAACUGACGAAAAAUCCCGGUAAAAUUGAUGACGUAGCUUCUAACCGGAAAAAAAAAAAUUUGGAAUUCAAGUGCAAAAGUUGCAAUAGGCAAUAUAAUCUUUUUCGAAAUUUAAGAUACCAUGAACGGAAAUUUCACAGUACGGAAAUUGUUUCCAAAAACAGUUUCAAGUGCUCGUUAUGUGAGUUCAGACUUAAUACGAAAACGUCAUUUCUGAAUCAUCUGGAGUCGGAACACAGUGCUGGCGUCAAGUCCCAAGAUCUCGAGUUUUCCUCUUUCGAAGAUUUUGUGAAAUGGAAGCAAAAUGUUGAAAAGGAAACAUUUUCCAGGACCAAGAAGCAGGACUUCAUGAUCGCCGGCACGGGGCCGCGCCGACACUACACCAUGUUCGACUGGGUGCUGGACUACUUUGGGCGUGCCGAGGGACUCGCUCACCCGCUCUACCUGCAGCACCAAGGUCACAGCCGCACGAUCGUGGGCGUGGAGGUACUUUACGGGGAGAGGCUCAACCUGCUGGUGCUGGACCCCAUCCACCGGCCGCACCAGAUGAGCCAGCUGUACGACCCGGACACAGCAGGCGAAGCCAUGGAGCUCCUUCGCCUGUCUCUGGACGACUUCAGGCAGCCGUACUACCAGGUGCUGGCCGUGAGCGGUGUCAUGGGCGAGCGUGAGCACCAGGUGAGCUUCCUCGCUACCAGACUGUCGCUGGACGACUUCAGGCAGCCGUACUACCAGGAGCUGGCCGUGAGCGGUGUCAUGGGCGAGCGUGAGCACCAGGUGAGCUCCCUCGCUACCAGGACUGUGGCUGGACGACUUCAGGCAGCCGUACUACCAGGUGCUGGCCCUGAGCGGUGACAUGGGCGAGCGUGAGCACCAGGUGAGCUCCCUCGCUACCAGGACUGUGGCUGGACGACUUCAGGCAGCCGUACUACCAGGUGCUGGCCCUGAGCGGUGACAUGGGCGAGCGUGAGCACCAGGUGAGCUCCCUCGCUACCAGGACUGUGGCUGGACGACUUCAGGCAGCCGUACUACCAGGUGCUGGCCCUGAGCGGUGACAUGGGCGAGCGUGAGCACCAGGUGAGCUCCCUCGCUACCAGGACUGUGGCUGGACGACUUCAGGCAGCCGUACUACCAGGUGCUGGCCCUGAGCGGUGACAUGGGCGAGCGUGAGCACCAGGUGAGCUCCCUCGCUACCAGGACUGUGGCUGGACGACUUCAGGCAGCCGUACUACCAGGUGCUGGCCCUGAGCGGUGACAUGGGCGAGCGUGAAUACCAGGUGAGCUCCCUCGCUACCAGGACUGUGGCUGGACGACUUCAGGCAGCCGUACUACCAGGUGCUGGCCCUGAGCGGUGACAUGGGCGAGCGUGAGCACCAGUUGAGCUCCCUCGCUACCAGGACUGUGGCUGGACGACUUCAGGCAGCCGUACUACCAGGUGCUGGCCCUGAGCGGUGACAUGGGCGAGCGUGAGCACCAGUUGAGCUCCCUCGCUACCAGGACUGUGGCUGGACGACUUCAGGCAGCCGUACUACCAGGUGCUAGCCGUGAGCGGUGUCAUGGGUGAGCGUGAGCACCAGUUGAGCUCCCUCGCUACCAGGACUGUGGCUGGACGACUUCAGGCAGCCGUACUACCAGGUGCUGGCCCUGAGCGGUGACAUGGGCGAGCGUGAGCACCAGUUGAGCUCCCUCGCUACCAUGACUGUGGCUGGACGACUUCAGGCAGCCGUACUACCAGGUGCUGGCCGUGAGCGGUGUCAUGGGUGAGCGUGAGCACCAGUUGAGCUCCCUCGCUACCAGGACUGUGGCUGGACGACUUCAGGCAGCCGUACUACCAGGUGCUGGCCCUGAGCGGUGACAUGGGUGAGCGUGAGCACCAGGUGAGCUCCCUCGCUACCAGGACUGUGGCUGGACGACUUCAGGCAGCCGUACUACCAGGUGCUGGCCGUGAGCGGUGUCAUGGGUGAGCGUGAGCACCAGUUGAGCUCCCUCGCUACCAGGACUGUGGCUGGACGACUUCAGGCAGCCGUACUACCAGGUGCUGGCCGUGAGCGGUGUGAUGGGCGAGCGUGAGCACCAGGUGAGCUCCCUCGCUACCAGGACUGUGGCUGGACGACUUCAGGCAGCCGUACUACCAGGUGCUGGCCCUGAGCGGUGUCAUGGGUGAGCGUGAGCACCAGGUGAGCUCCCUCGCUACCAGGACUGUGGCUGGACGACUUCAGGCAGCCGUACUACCAGGUGCUGGCCCUGAGCGGUGACAUGGGCGAGCGUGAGCACCAGGUGAGCUCCCUCGCUACCAGGACUGUGGCUGGACGACUUCAGGCAGCCGUACUACCAGGUGCUGGCCGUGAGCGGUGUCAUGGGUGAGCGUGAGCACCAGUUGAGCUCCCUCGCUACCAGGACUGUGGCUGGACGACUUCAGGCAGCCGUACUACCAGGUGCUGGCCCUGAGCGGUGACAUGGGCGAGCGUGAGCACCAGGUGAGCUCCCUCGCUACCAGGACUGUGGCUGGACGACUUCAGGCAGCCGUACUACCAGGUGCUGGCCGUGAGCGGUGUCAUGGGCAAGCGUGAGCACCAGGUGAGCUCCCUCGCUACCAGGACUGACUGGACGACUUCAGGCAGCCGUACUACCAGGUGCUGGCCGUGAGAGGUGUCAUGGGCGUGCGUGAGCACCAGGUGAGCUCCCUCGCUACCAGGACUGUGGCUGGACGACUUCAGGCAGCCGUACUACCAGGUGCUGUCCAUGAGCGGUGUCAUGGGCGAGCGUGAGUACCAGGUGAGCUCCCUCGCUACCAGAAAUUGUGGCUGGACGACUUCAGGCAGCCGUACUACCAGGUGCUGGCCGUGAGCGGUGUCAUGGGCGAGCGUGAGCACCAGGUGAGCUCCCUCGCUACCAGGACUGUGGCUGGACGACUUCAGGCAGCCGUACUACCAGGUGCUGGCCCUGAGCGGUGACAUGGGCGAGCGUGAGCACCAGUUGAGCUCCCUCGCUACCAGGACUGUGGCUGGACGACUUCAGGCAGCCGUACUACCAGGUGCUGGCCCUGAGCGGUGACAUGGGCGAGCGUGAGCACCAGUUGAGCUCCCUCGCUACCAGGACUGUGGCUGGACGACUUCAGGCAGCCGUACUACCAGGUGCUGGCCCUGAGCGGUGACAUGGGCGAGCGUGAGCACCAGUUGAGCUCCCUCGCUACCAGGACUGUGGCUGGACGACUUCAGGCAGCCGUACUACCAGGUGCUGGCCCUGAGCGGUGACAUGGGCGAGCGUGAGCACCAGUUGAGCUCCCUCGCUACCAGGACUGUGGCUGGACGACUUCAGGCAGCCGUACUACCAGGUGCUGGCCGUGAGCGGUGUCAUGGGCGAGCGUGAGCACCAGGUGAGCUCCCUCGCUACCAGGACUGUGGCUGGACGACUUCAGGCAGCCGUACUACCAGGUGCUGGCCCUGAGCGGUGACAUGGGCGAGCGUGAGCACCAGUUGAGCUCCCUCGCUACCAGGACUGUGGCUGGACGACUUCAGGCAGCCGUACUACCAGGUGCUGGCCGUGAGCGGUGUCAUGGGCGAGCGUGAGCACCAGGUGAGCUCCCUCGCUACCAGGACUGUGGCUGGACGACUUCAGGCAGCCGUACUACCAGGUGCUGGCCGUGAGCGGUGUCAUGGGCGAGCGUGAGCACAAGGUGAGCUCCCUCGCUACCAGGACUGUGGCUGGACGACUUCAGGCAGCCGUACUACCAGGUGCUGGCCCUGAGCGGUGUCAUGGGUGAGCGUGAGCACCAGGUGAGCUCCCUCGCUACCAGGACUGUGGCUGGACGACUUCAGGCAGCCGUACUACCAGGUGCUGGCCGUGAGCGGUGUCAUGGGCGAGCGUGAGCACCAGGUGAGCUCCCUCGCUACCAGGACUAUGGCUGGACGACUUCAGGCAGCCGUACUACCAGGUGCUGGCCGUGAGCGGUGUCAUGGGCGAGCGUGAGCACCAGGUGAGCUCCCUCGCUACCAGGACUGUGGCUGGACGACUUCAGGCAGCCGUACUACCAGGUGCUGGCCGUGAGCGGUGUCAUGGGCGAGCGUGAGCACCAGGUGAGCUCCCUCGCUACCAGGACUGUGGCUGGACGACUUCAGGCAGCCGUACUACCAGGUGCUGGCCCUGAGCGGUGACAUGGGCGAGCGUGAGCACCAGUUGAGCUCCCUCGCUACCAGGACUGUGGCUGGACGACUUCAGGCAGCCGUACUACCAGGUGCUGGCCGUGAGCGGUGUCAUGGGCGAGCGUGAGCACCAGGUGAGCUCCCUCGCUACCAGGACUGUGGCUGGACGACUUCAGGCAGCCGUACUACCAGGUGCUGGCCGUGAGCGGUGUCAUGGGCGAGCGUGAGCACCAGGUGAGCUCCCUCGCUACCAGGACUGUGGCUGGACGACUUCAGGCAGCCGUACUACUACGGGAGCUGGCCGUGAGCGGUGUCAUGGGCGAGCGUGAGCACCAGCGAAGCAGAGGCGUGCUGGCUCCGGGAGGGCAUUACGGCCUCUACUGAGGCUCGCCUGCCGAGCCGUGCAGCAUCCCUGGUCCACAAGCAACUCCGCCCCUCUCCAUCGACAUUAUUUAUUAAACAUCUCACUUACAUAUUC